UACGUAGGGGGGGCAAGCGUUUGUCCGGAAUCAUUGGGCGUAAAGCGCGCGUAGGCGGCCCGGUAAGUCCGUUGUUGAAAGUCAAAGGCUCAACCUUUGAACGCCGAUGGAUACUGCCGGGGCUAGAGUGCGGAAGAGGCGAGUGGAAUUCCUGGUGUAGCGGUGAAAUGCGCCAGAUAUCGAGGAGGAACACCUAGUUGCGAAGGC
rnacentral:rRNA from 1 species